rnacentral:lncRNA from 1 species
AGUACACCUAAUUUUCUGGACUAAUCUCGAACAUUCUUUCAUAUUUUUUUCCCUCCUCUUCCUCCUUUUCCACUCCAGUUAAGAUUAAUCAGUCAUCAUAUUGAUACAUGCUUAAAAAAAAUAUGCGGUUCGAUUGCAAUGGGUUCAUUAAAGAGAAUCUUUGUAGUUUGGUAUCCUUGGUCAUAUCUUACAUUAAAUGUUGCUGAUGCUUAACACUUUUCUUCACGUUUUGGAGUGGAACAAUCUUUUUAAGGCGAAUGAUUCCUUUCAUUUUUGAACUUUCUUCUGAAUAAGGACAAAUUACUUCAAAGCCUUAGAUCUUGAUGUGUUGAUUCACCCUAAAUCUAAUGGAGGGUUUCUGUUUGAGAUCCUCAAAUGAACUAAUCCUAAUCUAUGACAUGCAUGUUCUCUGGAACUAAUCGUUAAGUCUGAUGAGACGCUUGAUUUGCUUUUGGAAAAGUAUUUGAGUAUAUCAACAAUCUCUUCAUCUUUAAGUAUAUCUGGUGGAAUUUCUUCAAUCCCAAAUUGUGACGGAGAUAGAAUAGGGAAACGAAUGGAGUACAGAGCAGGUCCUAGAAUACCUCGCAAGUCUCGCUGUCUUUAUCUUCCGUCUGAGAUGAUGCUCAGUGGAGAGUAGUUCUAAAGACUUCAAUCUCAUCCAUAUCAAGUUUAUCCGAUGGAAAAAGGUCCUCGAGAAUUGGAUUAUCUUUUAUUCUAAGAACAGAGUCAGAGGAAAAUGUAAGAAAUGGAUUUAGUACAAUUUAUGGCCCACGAGAGUAGGUCUAUAGAGGGAACAUAGGUUAUCAUCUAAGACACAUGUUUUCAAGACAUAGCGUAGCCCGAUGAGUAUAUAUCCAUCUCAACGUGUCCUUGAAUCCAGAGUGAGUCUCAUCCGAAACCUCCGGCUUAAGAUUAUUGCCCUCAAUCCCAGAUCCUUUCUAGUCUCCAAUCAACAUUCGUAGAAGUACAGGAUUAUUUAUGACGUGUAUGUAUGGCAUUUAUAUUAAUAUCAAAGUAUAUUUCUGUACACUUUAAAUAGAGUGAGUCUAACAUGACUUAUCAGUCGGGAUGGACGUAAAGAGUCGGAACUGAUUCUUCUGUUUUGGUUAAAAUAAAUAAAGAAGAGUAUGCCUAUUUAGGGGUUAUGCCCAUAAAACAUUAUUGGAUCUACUAGUAUUGUAUUUUUACGGAUGUUCAAUGGAGAUUUGAAAGAAGGAUGGAGGUCAAUAAUAUUGAGUUUGAUGUUUCGGAUGUGACUCACUCUGGGUUAAGGGAUAUGUUGACAUGGAUAUACACUAAUCGUGCUACGUUGAGUCUUGAAAACGUAUGUCCUAGAUGAUGACCUAUGUUCCCUCUACUGUCAUUCUGAAUUGCUUCAAGUCAAUCAUUUGGUUCCUAGGCUCGUGGGUCAACUUGUAAUCAAUCAAUUUCUUACACUUUCCUCUGACUCAGUUAUUGGAAUCAAAGACAAUUCAAUACUCGAGGACAUUUUAUCAUCUGAUAAACUUGAUAUAGAGGACAUAGGAGUCUUCAGUACUGCUCUCCACUGGCCAUAAUCUCAAACUGAAGAUAAGCAGGGAAACUUGCGAGGUAAUCUAGGACCUGCUCUGUACGCCAUUCAUUUCCCUAUUCUAUCUCUGUCUCAAUUUGGGAUUGAAAAAAUUCCACCAGAUAUAUUUUAAGAUGAAGAGAUUGUUGAUAUUCUGGAAUACAUUUCCAAGAGCAAAUCAAGUGUCUUGUGUGACUUAACUUACAAUUCCAGAGAAUGUGCCUGUUGAGAUUUGGAUUAGAGGAUUUUGAACAUCUUAAUUACCUGGAACACUUCAUUGGAUUUAGGGUCAAUCGAUAAAUCAAGAUUGGUGUUGGAGUAACAUGUUUUUAUUCAUUAGAAAGAUAAAAAAUGUGAGGAAGUAUUCAUGUGUAAAGGGUUGAUCCACUUUAAAUGUAUUAAGAAAAGUGUUAAGCGUCAACAACAUUUAAUGGAGAAUAGGACCAAGGAUACCAAACCAUAAGGAUUGUCUUAAAUGAAAUAGCAUUUGAACCACAGGUCUUUAUAGAGCCUUUCUUGAAGACGAUAAUUUAACUGGAAUUUUUGGAGUGGAAGAGAAUGAAGGUUUAAAGGGAUAGAAGAUGGAGUUAAGUUUUACUUUAAGAAUAGCCCAAAUUGAAAGCGACUAUGCCCCAAAUGUUCGUAAGGGUGAAAUUUCAUACUUUGUCUUUGGUUAACUUCCUUCAAUGAAACAGACUUGAAAAUAAUGUAUGUUAUAUAUAUGUUCCUUGAUAACAUUUUUUUUAUUGUACAUAAUUUUUUUAAGUUAAAUAAAAUGUCAUUAGUGUUUUAAA